rnacentral:rRNA from 1 species
GACGAACGCUGGCGGCGUGCUUAACACAUGCAAGUCGAACGGAAAGGCCCUGCUUUUGUGGGGUGCUCGAGUGGCGAACGGGUGAGUAACACGUGAGUAACCUGCCCUUGACUUUGGGAUAACUUCAGGAAACUGGGGCUAAUACCGGAUAGGAGCUCCUGCUGCAUGGUGGGGGUUGGAAAGUUUCGGCGGUUGGGGAUGGACUCGCGGCUUAUCAGCUUGUUGGUGGGGUAGUGGCUUACCAAGGCUUUGACGGGUAGCCGGCCUGAGAGGGUGACCGGCCACAUUGGGACUGAGAUACGGCCCAGACUCCUACGGGAGGCAGCAGUGGGGAAUAUUGCACAAUGGGCGGAAGCCUGAUGCAGCAACGCCGCGUGCGGGAUGACGGCCUUCGGGUUGUAAACCGCUUUCGCCUGUGACGAAGCGUGAGUGACGGUAAUGGGUAAAGAAGCACGGGCUAAGUACGUG